GGACUGCUAAUGACCAAGAAAGCGGUCAUAUACAAGGAAGUCUCAUUCAUAGGAGGGAAAACGGGACGAAAGAAAAAUUCAGGCGGUUUAUCAUAUCUGUUUCUAAUCAGGUUUUACGGAACAUUAAAAUGGUGCUACUUUGUCGUCUUGUUAUCUACACGUCACCUCCGAGGCGCUGAUAUUAAACAUGGCGGAUCUCAAUGGACGCCGUGUUUAGUACCUGCUAAUAUAAUUUGUCGACUACACAAAUAAAAAUGGGUGAUUAUAAUACUCUGAUCACCGAGGUGCUAGUCAAAGUCUACACUGAGAAUGCUAGUACUCAACAGGGCGUCCCAUUGAAAUCCGCCAUGUUUAGUACUAGCACGGCGUCUCGGAGGCAGCGCGUAGAUAACAAGCCAAAGUAACCAUUAAAUAUUCAUUCUUUUCUUUAGAUAAGAGACGCUAUCCAGGAGGCUGAGAGCUUCCGAAAGACUUUACUCUCUUUAUUUUCCAAUUGAUACUGUAAUCAAAAAUGUUUUUUCUUUUUUUUUUUCUUAAAUUAUUUUCACAAUUCCAAGGGCUGUAACCACACAAACAUUUUUCGAGCUAUUCUAUCUAAAUGUUUUUUGAUAGUGUGAUAAGGGUCCUUAUUUCUAAAUGCAUGAGAGAGAGAGAGAGAGAGAGAGAGAGAGAGAGAGAGAGAGAGAGAGAGAGAGAGAGAGAGACUGCUUAAAAUGUUACCUGCACACAUCAAAGUAUAAAAAGUUACGUUCCUGUGUUUGAUUCCAUAACUAUUACUACCGUAUGAGAACCACGAAUCCUCGAGGGCAACUUUUAUACAGAGACCGGAGCGUAUCCUUUCAUGCUAUGCGUCGAAAGGACCGCCUCUUCAAGGUUAGGCCGACGUUGAGGUAUAAAAAUAGGCAAGCCUACGACUACUACUCACAAAGCUUCAUUUCAGGAUUUGCCUCCUUGAAGACAGCGCGGUGAGUGAGCUGACGAACUGAAGUUCUUCCCGUUUAGGUGCAAACAUGAAGGCCACCAUCCUCCUAGUGUUGUUAUGCUUCGUAUUCUUGGUGGGCACCGCAGAGGCCGUGCCCAGUAAAGGUGACUUGGCCGCGCCUGCUGGUGGGCCCGAGGAACCGGACACCAGGCCGCCCCUCACUCCCGAAUACGUAAAAAGCCGCGUUGACAUCGCCUUCGAAAGAGUGAAGAAAUAUUUAUCUUUCUGGUGGGGAGGUUCAGGCUAAUAUUGCACGCUAUAUCGUAGGACUACAUAAAUAUAGAAGAAGAAGAGUGGCUACAGUCAGCUGUUAAGGAUGUUGCACGAGCCAAUGACCACCAGCGGGGCUUUCAGACAAUUCUACUUUGAUUUCUUUGUAAAAUAAAACUUUUUUUUAUCAA